UACAGAGGGUGCGAGCGUUAAUCGGAAUUAUUGGGCGUAAAGGGCGCGUAGGUGGCUCUAUAAGUUAAGUGUGAAAUCCCAUGGCUUAACCAUGGAAUUGCACUUGAUACUGUAGAGCUAGAGUAUGGUAGAGGGAAGUGGAAUUUCCGGAGUAGCGGUGAAAUGCGUAGAUACCGGAAGGAACACCAGUGGCGAAGGCGGCUUCCUGGACCAAUACUGACACUGAGGCGCGAUAGCGUGGGGAGCAAACAGG
rnacentral:rRNA from 1 species